rnacentral:rRNA from 1 species
UACAGAGGGUGCAAGCGUUGCUCGGAUUUACUGGGCGUAAAGCGUACGCAGACGGUCUGGCAAGUCGGGAGUGAAAGCCCCGGGCUCAACCCGGGAACUGCUCUCGAUACUAUCAGCUCUAGAGUUUGGGAGAGGGAAGCGGAAUUCCUGGUGUAGAGGUGAAAUUCGUAGAUAUCAGGAGGAACACCAGCGGCGAAGGCGGUUACCUGGAGCUUUGCUGACGCUGAUGCGCGAAAGCGUGGGGAGCGAUCCGG